UAAAAGUUUUAUUUUAGCUUAAAUAAUAAGUUUAUAAUUUUUUUACAUGUGAAUUUUUGUGUAAUGUGUUAUAAUUUUAAAAAAGUUUUAAUUAUAAAAAUUUAGUUCGCAGUAUUUAAUUUUAAAUAUUAAGGAAACUUAGAUUUAGAAAUUUAUAAUAAUAUUAACAUAAUUUGUGCCAGCAGUUGCGGUUAUACAAAUAAUAUAAUUUAUUAUUAUUAAUUUAUAAUUAAUUUUUAUUUUAAUUUAAUAAUAAUUUUAAUUUAUUAGGUGAAAUUUUAAAUUAAAAUUUUUUUAUAUUUUAAUAUAUGAUAUUAUUAAAUUUUAUAAUAAACUAGGAUUAGAUACCCUAUUAUAAAAAUGUAAAUAAUAAAAAUUAAAUUAUUAGUAGUUAUGGUCUUGAAAGUUAAAAAUUUUGGCGGUAUUUUAAUCUAUUCAGAGGAACCUGUUCUUUAAUUGAUAUUCCACGAGUAAAUUAACUUAUUUUAGUAGUUUGUAUAUCGUUGUAGUUGAAUAUUUUAUUAGAAAUUUAAUGUUCUAAAUUUUUUACUAAAAAAAUAAAUCAAAUCAAGGUGCAGUUUAUAGAUAAGAAGAGAUGGGUUACAAUAAAUAAUAUAUGUAUGAAUUAAUUUUUUAAUAAAAUUAUGCAAUUGGAUUUGAAUGUAAUUAAAUUUUUAUUAAUUUUAUGAUUUAAGUUCUAAAAUAUGUACAUAUCGCCCGUCGCUCUCAUUUAAAUUGAGAUAAGUCGUAACAUAGUAAAUGUACUGGAAAGUGUAUUUAGUUUGCA
rnacentral:ncRNA from 1 species